rnacentral:tRNA from 2 species
UGGCGAGUAGCAAAGUGGUAAUGCACCCGGCUGUUAACCGGGAGACUCGCGGGUUCGACCCCCGCCUCGCCAGCCA